UGAAGCUAAACCUUUUCGCCAUCGUGGCCGCCGCUAACCUCCCUUUAAGGUGUUAUGGAGCAGCCACAUGAUUAUUACGAGAGGAAGUGGAAGCCUUUAACAGUCACCAUAAACGCCCUGAAACGGCUACUGUCUUCGACGGUAACGCAAUCGCAGCCGCUGCCGUUCCUUCCCGAUGAACUCAUCAGAGAAAUCUUGCUGAGGCUUCCGGCGAGAUCGCUGCGUCGGUUACGAAGAGUGUGCAGUUCAUGGAAAACCCUAAUUUCCAGCUCUCAAUUCGCCAAAGACCAUCUUCAACAUUCAACCGCCGCGGAUCCAAGUUUGAGUGGGCCACGAGUUGCUUAUCAUUAUCAUUGCCACUACGAAUUCGGAGAUUUCUCCUUACGCUCCUUGGUCGAGAACCCUUCCAAACCUACUGAAGUCGUUCUCUUCAAGGAGAGACGACACCACGCACUUAUUGGCUCUUGCAAUGGAUUGCUGUGCUUGGUUGAUGUUGUUGGCAUCAACACCUAUGUCAGGUUGUGGAAUCCCUGUACUGGAUUAUUGACAACCCAAUAUGUGGAACGUGGGAAGUUCUUAUCGGUUUUCGGCUUCGGCUAUGAUCAUGUGAAUGACAAGUACAAGCUGCUUGUGCUUGUAAAUCACAAGGGGAAUCAUACACCCAGAAUUUAUAGAUUUUGCCGCAACUCUUCCAACAGAGCCAUUCAAGGUAUCCCAUUAAGCAGCAUAAUGGGUGAUCGUAAAGGGGUAUUUGUGCCUGGCACCGCUACUCUUAAUUGGGUUUGUCAGCAUGACACUCUGGAGUACUUGGUUCUUUCCCUUGACUUGGUGAAGGAGACUUUUAGUGAGUUUUUCCUGCCCUUCAGUGUUCCGGAUGAUAAAACCUUAAUCUUCCCACGGUUAUCUGUGCUGAGGAACUGCCUUGCAUAUUGUUUUAAUCAUGAGAAAACUCAUUGGUUCGUGUGGAUCAUGAAGGAGUAUGGAGUGCCUAAAUCUUGGACUAAAUUGGCCAUCAUCCCCGCCCUUCUGUGUCUAUCCAAUUAUCAUUUUCGUCCAUUGUAUAUCUGGGGAAACAAUAUUCUUGUGGCGGAUGCAUCAACGAUAGUUCUGUAUAAUUUGGAUAAUGGUAGCUUUGAAUUUCCUGAAUUGAAACCUACUCCUUCAAUAGGAUUGUCCGUCUUUGUUUAUCAAGAAAGCUUAGUUUCACCACCAUAUCCUGGCCUUCCAAGUAGCUCUUUCAGUUAAUUAAACCCUAACGGACAUGCUGUCUUCUGAAUGGUUUGAUUCUAGUCAACUCCUAUGCCUUCUUUAUGAAUUUUGACUUUUGAGAAUUUAUCCUUUCUUAUUGCUUCUCUAAUUCAUUGAUUAUUUAUCUAGUUUUUUACAAAAUUAUACUUUCUGUUUUGAUUAUUGCCAAUUUCAUAUUCACAUGCCCAGGCCGGAUCUGUAGGAAUCACCAUCAUUUACUAGUGUCCCUUUGCACUUACAGUAAAUUUAUGCUUGUGAUGAAGAUCUGAUUUUAGAUUCAAACCUAUUAUUUUAGGGUAAAAUUAAGGGGAGAGAAUGGAAUAUGUAAUUUAAUGCGUACCAUUUCCUUUUAAUUUUGUUUUUUUUUUUAAUCCAAAACUGGAUGCUUUACCCGUUAAACCAGAUGAGAUAUGCUGAUAAUUGGUGCAUGAAUGAUGCAUACCAUAGUAUUGGCAUCUUCAAAUUAUGGAUUCAUGGUCAUAAAUGAUUCUUUUAUGGCUAAAGAAAAUCAAAAUUAAUACAUUAUUUUUUUCUUGUGAUAAAUAAAUGAUUACCAGCUUUCAGUGAUCAACAUACUAGGCAGCGGGAAAAAUGAUAUAUUGAUACAUUUGUUUUCUCUCUUGGUGGUCAAAGAAAUAAUAUGAACUUCUGAGGUACCAACCUGGUGAUAUAAGUUAUCUGUUAUUGAUGAGUAUUAAAGAAUUGGAGCUUAAAACUAAUGGAAGAGUUGAUACGAGAUUUUAACAAACAAAACGAUAAGCCAUGUCAUAAAGAAAAAGAGCUUUUAUAUUCUUAAUUAUCUAGAUAUCCCUUGUAGUUCUAGACCCUAUUUUAUGACUAACACUCGCAUUUGUCAUGUUUUUUCCCAACUCUCAUAUUUUUUUUUUAUAUUAGCCCUCUAACACUGCUUGGGAAUAAUUAUUUACAAACUUUCAUCGACUAACAAACUUAACCACCUUGUCUUGUCAAAGAAUAAUAUGAACUUCUAAGAAAUUAACUUGAUGACAUAAGUUAUUUUUUGAAGUGAUAUAUUUUUAUGAAUAUAUCACAUAGUUUGUUUUCCCCUCCUAAUCAUAAGAGAUAUGUAUUGUCAUUUCAAAAUCCUGCAGUUAUGUGUGCUGAGGAACUAUCUUGCAAUUUGAAGUGAACAUAGAACUCAUUGCUCUGUGUGGUUUAUGAAGGAGUAUGGAGUGUCUGAAUCUUGGACUAAAUUUACCAUGAUCCCACAGUACCUUAGCAUACACAUUAUUCCUCUGUAUCUUUGGGAAAAUGAUGUUCUUCAUGGGACUGCUGCUCCUUAUUCAAGAAUAAGUAGGUAUAACUUAAACCAUGGCAACUUCAAGUUCCCUGUCAUUCAUGGCCACAGAGAUGACAUGAUGAAAGUUGCUCCUUUGUCUAAGCACUCGAUGGCAGCAAAGCAAUUCCAUAUUUAUCAUAAAAGCUUGGUUUCACCAUCACACUGUGGUCUUCUAAGUAGCACAUCUGAAAUGCGUCGGAUCAAAGUUAUCAAAAACCCAUGCCUACAUCUCUUCCAAGUGAAUUCCUCUAUUGUUUUUUCAGACUUGGUGUGGGGCUGCAAAACUAUACUUUCUGUUGACAUGAUUGUUCCCCAUUGCUAAAUCACAACGUCACAGCAAUUUUUCUGCUUUAUUUAGGAUAUUAAGGAAUGACUAUCAUUUACUGGUGUUCAUUUACAAUUAGAGUUAAUUUUUUCUAGUAUCAAGUUCUAUUUUUAUAUGACAAGUUAUCAUUUUUAGGGUUAAGUUAAGGGAAGAAAGAAAAUAGAAACUGUAAUAUCCCAUAAUUUAAUGACUACAGUUUCAUAUUAUGUUCUUCCAUGUUGGUUUUUCAACAUUUUG